AGAGAACUUUAUUGAAUAACCACUCAACUGAUUACAAUAAGCUCUCUUGGCCUCUCCAGCUCUCCUGGAUACCAAUCCCUCCCCUUUGAGGGUCCUCUUAUAGAGGAACAACCUCCAGUUACAAGUCCCUCACGAACUCAACUUCCCAUGCACAAGAUAAGGAUGAAUUCUAGAUAAGAUAGGAAAACCCUGAUUCCCGCAGGAUUCUGCG
rnacentral:lncRNA from 1 species